CGCGUAGGCGGUUAAAUAAGUCAGAUGUGAAAGCCCCGGGCUCAACCUGGGAACUGCAUUUGAAACUGUUUAGCUAGAGUGUGGUAGAGGAGAGUGGAAUUUCAGGUGUAGCGGUGAAAUGCGUAGAUAUCUGAAGGAACAUCAGUGGCGAAGGCGGCUCUCUGGACCAACACUGACGCUGGAGGUGCGAAAGCGUGGGUAGCAAACG
rnacentral:rRNA from 1 species